GAUGAAGAACGUAGUGAAAUGCGACACUUGGUGUGAAUUGCAGAAUCCCGUGAACCAUCGAGUCUUUGAACGCAAGUUGCGCCCGAAGCCAUUAGGCCGAGGGCACGCCUGCCUGGGCGUCACACGUCGUUGCCCCCCCAUCUACUCCUUCGGGAUUGCGGGGGGCGGAUGAUGGCCUCCCGUGCGCCUCGUCGCGCGGUUGGCAUAAAUGCCAAGUCCUCGGCGACGCACGCCACGACAAUCGGUGGUUGCGAAACCUCGGUUGCCCGUCGUGUGCGGUCGUCGCGCAUCGAGGGCUCGAAAAAAUUGCCGGGCUCCGGCUCGGCUUUCAACGCGACCCCAGGUCAGGCGGGGUUACCCGCUGAAUUUAAGCAUAUCAAUAAGCGGAGGA
rnacentral:misc_RNA from 1 species